AUUGAACGCUGGCGGCAUGCUUUACACAUGCAAGUCGAACGGUAACAGGCCUUCGGGUGCUGACGAGUGGCGAACGGGUGAGUAAUGCAUCGGAACGUGCCCAGAGGUGGGGGAUAACGCAGCGAAAGCUGUGCUAAUACCGCAUGUGAUCUGAGGAUGAAAGCGGGGGACCAGGCAGCAAUGUUUGGCCUCGCGCCUUUGGAGCGGCCGAUGUCAGAUUAGGUAGUUGGUGGGGUAAAGGCCUACCAAGCCGACGAUCUGUAGCUGGUCUGAGAGGACGACCCGCCACACUGGGACUGAGACACGGCCCAGACUCCUACGGGAGGCAGCAGUGGGGAAUGUUGGACAAUGGGCGCAAGCCUGAUCCAGCAAUGCCGCGUGCGGGAAGAAGGCCUUCGGGUUGUAAACCGCUUUUGUACGGAACGAAAAGGCUCUGGCUAAUACCUGGGGCUGAUGACGGUACCGUAAGAAUAAGCACCGGCUAACUACGUG
rnacentral:rRNA from 1 species